CUUGACCGAACCCAGCCACAGCGGCCGGCCAUCGGGACGGUCUCGCCCAUACGUGGCCAGCAACGCCUGAGCUUC
rnacentral:antisense_RNA from 1 species